rnacentral:lncRNA from 1 species
UCAGUGGAAAAUUGUCAGACUCAGAAACCUUGUUUACAAGAUGAGGGUAGGGAUGAAAGUAUUUAGUUCUUCAUUUUUAAAUCCCUGUUUUCUUAUUCUUCCUCAUGCACUUCGGCUCUAACAUGUUUGUGAACUUUGGGCUUUGUCUAGUAACUUUGAGCGUGUCCUAUAUUUUUUUGACUUUAAUCACCUAAUAUCAUCUCUGUUCUUUUUCUAUGCAAUGCCUAGAACAACUUAUAACCCUCCCUAAUUAUUAAAUAGGAAAAAGACACACUGUUUUUCUUAGAGAAGGAUAUGAAAGGGGGUGUUUGAUUGACCCAAAUCCAGUCUAUAAUGCAAGGAGAAAACUUCUAGAUCUAGUUGUGCUGGGACGCCAUGCCAUGUUAAUCAACAAUGAAUCAAGGUCAGUGGAAAAUUGUCAGACUCAGAAACCUUGUUUACAAGAUGAGGGUAGGGAUGAAAGUAUUUAGUUCUUCAUUUUUAAAUCCCUGUUUUCUUAUUCUUCCUCAUGCACUUCGGCUCUAACAUGUUUGUGAACUUUGGGCUUUGUCUAGUAACUUUGAGCGUGUCCUAUAUUUUUUUGACUUUAAUCACCUAAUAUCAUCUCUGUUCUUUUUCUAUACAAUGCCUAGAACAACUUAUAACCCUCCCUAAUUAUUAAAUAGGAGGACAAUGUGUUUUGAUGCACUCGAC